rnacentral:tRNA from 1 species
AGAGAUAUAGUUUAGUGGUAGAGUGUUUGCCUUGUAUGCAUAAGGCCCUGGGUUCAAUCCCCAGCACCACAA